rnacentral:ncRNA from 2 species
AUUUGUAAAGGUAAUGGAGCUUACCUUAAACCGCCAAGCUUUAGCUCGGCUGAUGGCUCCUACUAUUCU